UCUGGGAUGUGGGAGGUGCACCAUUUGAUAAUGUGCAUUGUACAGCUUCAACAGGAAUUAGGAUCGGACGUACGACAUGUUUUUCGAGAGGCUAAUGGAGCGGCUGAUUAUCUUGCGAAGGAAGCCGCAUCUCAGCAAUUGACUCGGGUUAUGUAUCAGGAGGACAUUACGGGAAAAUUGCGAGGCAUUAUCAGACUGGAUAAACUGGGUACUCCCCACCUUCGCCGGUAAGUCUUAGUGAUGCUUUGAGAUUGAUUUUCGGUUGGGCGGUUGGGGGAGAUAUUGGCGGGGGCAUUACGCAGUAAGUCAGACUACUGUAUAAAAGGGAAGAGCAUGUCUAUAGAUCAAAUUCUACCGUAUUUCUAGACUUGUAUAGAGUUUGCACAUAGAUUAGAAUUUUUUUUAAAGUAAAGGGAGUAAGUACUCCUCAUUUACUGUUUUCGAAUUGUACACUUUAUAAUUUUUUCUGAGUUAAUAAACGGAUAAGGGUCCGCCAAACCCCCCGCAUAGGCACAGGCGGCUUUCGCCAAAAAAAAAAAAGUCUGGUUCCAGCACCCGCGGUAAUUCCAACUCCAAUAGCGCAUAUUUAAAUUGUUGCACUUAAAAAGCUUGUAGUUGGACCUUCGGUUGGGCCGGUCGGUCCGCCUCUGGUGUGCACCGAUUGUCUCAUCCCUUCUGCCGGCAAUGCGCUCCUGGUCUUAAUUGACCAGGGUCGUGCCUCCGGUGCUGUUACUUUGAAGAAAUUAGAGUGCUCGAAGCAAGCCUACGCUCUGUAUACAUUAGCAUGGGAUAACAUUAUAGGAUUUCGGUCCUAUUACGUUGGCCUUCGGGAUCGGAGUAAUGAUUAACAGGGACAGUCGGGGGCAUUCAUAUUUCAUAGUCAAAGGUGAAAUUCUUGGAUUUAUGACAGACGAACAACUGCGAAAGCAUUUGUCAAGGAUGUUUUCAUUAAUUAAGAACGAAAGUUGGGGGAUCGAAGACGACCAGAUACCGUCCUAGUCUCAACCAUAAACGAUGCCGAUCAGGGAUCGGCGGAUGUUGCUUUUAGGACUCCACCGGCACAUUAUGAGAAAUCAAAGUCUUUGGGUUGCAGGGGGAGUAUGGUCGCAAGACUGAAACUUAAAGGAAUUGACGAAAGGGCACCACUAGGAGUGGAGCCUACGGCUUAUUUUGACUCAACAUGGGGAAACUUACCGGGUCCUGACAUAGUAAGUAUUGACAGACUGAGAGCUCUUUCUUGAUUCUAUGGGUGGUGGUGAAUGGCCGUUCUUAGUUGAUGGAGCGUUUGUCUGGUUAAUUCCGUUAACGAACGAGACCUCAGCCUGCUAACUAGCUAUGCGGAGGUAUCCCUCCUCGGCCAGCUUCUUAGAGGGACUACGGCUUUUUAGGCCGCGGAAGUUUGAGGCAAUAACAGGUCUAUGAUGCCCUUAGAUGUUUUCGGCGGCACGCGCGCUACACUGAUGUAUUCAACGAGUCUAUAGCCUUGGCCGACAGGCCCGGGUAAUAUUUGAAAUUUCAUCAUGAUGGGGAUAGAUCAUUACAAUUCUUGGUUUACAACGAGGAAUUUCUAGUAAGCACGAGUCAUCAGCUCGCGUUGACUACGUCCCUGCCCUUUGUACACACCGCCUGUCGCUCCUACCAAUUAAAUGGUCCGGUGAAGUGUUCGGAUCGAGGCGACGUGGGCAGUUCGCUGCCGACGACGUCGCGAGAAAUCCACUGAACCUCAUCAUUUAGAGGAAGGAGAAGUCGUAACAAGGUUUCCGUAGGUGAACCUGCGUAAG
rnacentral:rRNA from 1 species